rnacentral:rRNA from 1 species
UACGAAGGGAGCUAGCGUUGUUCGGAAUUACUGGGCGUAAAGGGCGUGUAGGCGGUAUCAUAAGUCAGAUGUGAAAGCCCCAGGCUUAACCUGGGAGGUGCAUUUGAUACUGUGGAACUAGAGAUCGAGAGAGGAAAGUGGAAUUACGAGUGUAGAGGUGAAAUUCGUAGAUAUUCGUAAGAACACCAGUGGCGAAGGCGGCUUUCUGGCUCGAUACUGACGCUAAGGCGCGAAAGCGUGGGGAGCAAACAGG